rnacentral:rRNA from 1 species
GCUUAAUACAUGCAAGUCGAACGUGAAGUGUAGCAAUACACUGAAAGUGGCGAACGGGUGAGUAACACGUAAACAAUCUGCCUCUAAGAUCGGGAUAACCUUGCCAACGCGGGGCUAAUACCGGAUGUGGUCCCCAAAACGCAUGUUUUGAGGAUUAAAGGAGUAAUCCGUUUAGAGAUGAGUUUGCGGCCCAUUAGUUAGUUGGCGGGGUAAUGGCCCACCAAGACCGCGAUGGGUAGCCGGCCUGAGAGGGUGAACGGCCACAUUGGGACUGAGAUACGGCCCAGACUCCUACGGGAGGCAGCAGUAGGGAAUUUUGCGCAAUGGACGAAAGUCUGACGCAGCAACGCCGCGUGAAGGAUGAAGGCCCUCGGGUUGUAAACUUCUGUUGGAUGGGAAAAAAAUACUAGCAAUAGUACUGAUGGUACCAUUCGAGUAAGCACCGGCUAACUACGUGCCAGCAGCCGCGGUAAUACGUAGGGUGCAAGCGUUGUUCGGAAUCACUGGGCGUAAAGAGAGCGUAGGCGGGAUCGUAAGUUAGAAGUUUAAUGCAUGGGCUUAACCCAUGACCUGCUUUUAAUACUGCGGUUCUUGAGUAUGGGAGAGGGCGAUGGAAUUCCAGGUGUAGCGGUGGAAUGCGUAGAUAUCUGGAAGAACACCAGUAGCGAAGGCGGUCGCCUGGCCCAAUACUGACGCUGAGGCUCGAAAGCUAGGGGAGCAAACAGGAUUAGAUACCCUGGUAGUCCUAGCCGUAAACGAUGAACACUAGUUGCCGGGAGAGUCAAUCCUUCGGUGACGAAGCUAACGCAUUAAGUGUUCCGCCUGGGAAGUACGUCCGCAAGGAUGAAACUCAAAGGAAUUGACGGGGGCCCGCACAAGCGGUGGAGCAUGUGCUUUAAUUCGAUGCAACGCGAAGAACCUUACCUAGGCUUGACAUGGGGGUGAAAUUCUGUAGAAAUAUAGAACCUUCCGCAAGGAACACCCUACACAGGUGCUGCAUGGUCGUCGUCAGCUCGUGUCGUGAGAUGUUGGGUUAAGUCCCGCAACGAGCGCAACCCUCGCCCUUAGUUGCUAACAGGGAAUGCUGAGAACCUUAAGGGGCUGCCUGGUUUAACCAGGAAGAAAGGGGGGAUAAAGCCAAACCUCCUGGGCCCUAACCCCUAG